GACGAACGCUGGCGGCGUGCUUAACACAUGCAAGUCGAACGGUGAAAGCGGAGCUUGCUCCGCUGGAUCAGUGGCGAACGGGUGUGUAACACGUGGGCAACCUGCCCCUCACUUCGGGAUAACUCCGGGAAACCGGGGCUAAUACCGGAUAUGACCUCCUUGGGCAUCCUUGGAGGUGGAAAGUUUUUCGGUGAGGGAUGGGCCCGCGGCCUAUCAGCUUGUUGGUGAGGUAGUGGCUCAACAAGGCGACGACGGGUAGCCGGCCUGAGAGGGCGACCGGCCACACUGGGACUGAGACACGGCCCAGACUCCGACGGGAGGCAGCAGUGGGGAAUAUUGCGCAAUGGGCGAAAGCCUGACGCAGCAACGCCGCGUGCGGGAUGACGGCCUUCGGGUUGUAAACCGCUUUCAGCAGGGAAGAAGCCGCAAGGUGACGGUACCUGCAGAAGAAGCACCGGCUAACUACGUGCCAGCAGCCGCCGUAA
rnacentral:rRNA from 1 species